rfam:Gossypium hirsutum cultivar TM-1 unplaced genomic scaffold scaffold2162.1, whole genome shotgun sequence
UAUUAAAAAUUUCAUCAAUUUACACUGUUAAAAACUAAUGUUGUUAACAGAAUAAUCAAAUAGUGACAUGGUGUACCACGUGUAUCUUACGAUAAUGUACAAAGACUAGUUUUUAACAGUAAAAAUGGAUGGAAUUUUUAGCC